CUUUGGGACACGGCAUAAAUUAAUUAGUUUGCUUCGCAUUUUACUAAAGCACGGACCGGCGCUAUUUGCUUUAAACAUUUUAUCUUAUCGUUAUUAUUUUCAUACCAUUACGCACUAUGGAUCUUUAUUAUACUAUAGAAUCUACCCCCUGUCGGGCAGUGAUAAUGGCAGCUAAAACCAUAGGCGUCGAGUUAAAUAGACGUAAAUUACACUUGCGUCAAGGUGAACACUUGACACCUGAAUAUCUAAAAAUAAAUCCACAACAUAAAGUUCCGACUUUGGUGGAUGAUGGGUUCCCCAUUUGGGAGUCGCGUGCCAUACUCAUUUAUUUGGUCGAAAAAUAUGGCAAAGAUGAUUCGCUCGAUUGAGUUCGAUUACUACAAUGGACGUGGCUGGCAUGGAUUUGGAUAGGCAUCCAAAUGUAAUAAGGUGGUAUGAGCAUUGCAAAAAAAUUGUUCCUGGUUACGAUGAAAACUUGGAAGGUGCCUUGGCUUAUAUGAAGUUUUAUAAUUAGGGGGUCCGACCUGUUCUUGGACAGAAUUUCACUUUGUAAAGUAAAUCUGUUGUUUAUACUUAUUUCUGAAAAUAAAAUCUAUUUUAAACUGAAAAAUAAAAAA